ensembl:lncRNA LINC01685 long intergenic non-protein coding RNA 1685
GUUUUCAUGCAGAUACACACAGCACAGCUAGUUUCAAAAUUAAACCACAAUGAAAACUGUCACUACUGACAAGGAACUAUGCAAAGACCUUCGGUCUCAGGCCCUUGCUCACUCAGGAGUACCUUGAGACCUGUUUCUUCCUGUUCAGCUGCAGUCACGGUUCUAACCUGGUUCUUCUCACGGCUGGUAUCCUCUGACCUUUUAUGUCUUGGCAAUGACUUCCAUGCAUUUUGGCAGUGACUGCCUGAAUCUCUGAUUCAACCCUGAUCGCAGCCUCUCGGGCUUUCUCGCUCCUUUAAUUCUUUCCGCGGAUGGCCACGGCUUUUGCCGCCUGUACCCUUCCUGGAGCAACCCGUGCUUUUGAAAAAUGACCAUGCCGAAGGGGAACUAACACUCCCAGCCUGGUGCGGGUCUUGUCAAUCUGAUUUUUAAAUGAUGGAGGAGGAGGUUUGAGGACAAAGCUCAUGGUGGCAUUACCACUAUCAGGGACGCUGCAAAGAUCAAGUGAAAAGGGGAAAAGGCUCUUCUCAAUGUGAGCACAUUCACAGGCUCUGAGAACAGAGAGGUAUUUAAAGUGAACUGGAACAAACCUGCAACAUCCGGUGCGUUCUGCCUUCAAAAAUAGCUGCCAGUUAGAAAGGGUUAUUUACAUAUUGAUUUCAUGCUAACUUUGUAAUGGAAUGUGCUGCCUGCCUGCCUGCCUGAGACCUAACAACUGUCAUCAUAAUUUUUUCUAAAAAUACAGUCAGAGAAAAACACUCAUUGAACCCUCCACUGGAAAGUAGCUGCAAAAGACCCCCUGAUCCCAAACCUGCUUGACAGACCACAGCCAAGGGCAGGGACACUCAACAACUGUAAACGAGGAACAUUUCACAGCGGCAGCUGGCCCCUCUCUUCUUCCAACCAGCCAAUAUUUUUUGUCUUUCUAGAAAACCUGUCUUGUUCAAAGGCCUGAUGGAGCUGAUUCGGUUGUGAUCCUGGGCAUAUGGAUGGCAUAUUUGCUGCGAGCUAGGUGAGACGCGUCCCAGAAGGACCGCUGCCAGCCCCCGCAGCCGCCUUCUCCUGCUCCCGGGAGGCUGGGGCUGGCCGCGGAGCAGCGAAACCGGCCGGAUCCAGGGUAACUGCGGCCCACUUUGUUUUCAGCCGGCCCCCGCUGCUGCGGACAAAUCUUUCAUUCAUGAACAGGAGCUUGUUAGGCCAACUCCGGACUCUAAAGCCACUUAAUUAAAUUGUGGAAAGUC